AUUGAACGCUGGCGGCAGGCCUAACACAUGCCAGUCGAACGGAGUAGCGGACGGGUGAGUAAUGUAUGGGAAACUGCCUGAUGGAGGGGGAUAACGCCCAGAAACGGUGGCUAAUACCGCAUACUAUCCGAUGAGACUAGGUUGGAUUAGCUAGUGGGUGGGGUAAAGGCUUACCAAGGCGACGAUCCGUAACUGGUCUGAGAGGAUGAUCAGCCACACUGGGACUGAGAAACGGUCCAGACUCAUACGGGAGGCAGCAGUUGGGAAUAGUGGACAAUGGGCGAAAGCCUGAGCCAGCCACGCCGCGUGUGGGAAGAAGGUCUUCGGAUUGUAAAGCACUUUACGCUGGGAGGCGUUACCCACAGAAUAAGCACCGGCUAACGUCGUGCGAGCAGCCGCGGUAAUGC
rnacentral:rRNA from 1 species